rnacentral:rRNA from 1 species
AUUGAACGCUGGCGGCAGGCCUAACACAUGCAAGUCGAGCGGAUGAAGGGAGCUUGCUCCUGGAUUCAGCGGCGGACGGGUGAGUAAUGCCUAGGAAUCUGCCUGGUAGUGGGGGAUAACGUCCGGAAACGGGCGCUAAUACCGCAUACGUCCUGAGGGAGAAAGUGGGGGAUCUUCGGACCUCACGCUAUCAGAUGAGCCUAGGUCGGAUUAGCUAGUUGGUGGGGUAAAGGCCUACCAAGGCGACGAUCCGUAACUGGUCUGAGAGGAUGAUCAGUCACACUGGAACUGAGACACGGUCCAGACUCCUACGGGAGGCAGCAGUGGGGAAUAUUGGAAGAUGGGCGAAAGCCUGAUCCAGCCAUGCCGCGUGUGUGAAGAAGGUCUUCGGAUUGUAAAGCACUUUAAGUUGGGAGGAAGGGCAGUAAGUUAAUACCUUGCUGUUUUGACGUUACCAACAGAAUAAGCACCGGCUAACUUCGUG